UCUGGCAAGAGGGAGGCCUUUGU
rnacentral:piRNA from 1 species